rfam:Drosophila melanogaster chromosome 2L.
AAAACGGCCCUUUUCAGGGCCACAAUGUGUUAUACCAAAGAAAUG